AACGAACGCUGGCGGCAGGCUUAACACAUGCAAGUCGAGCGCCCCGCAAGGGGAGCGGCAGACGGGUGAGUAACGCGUGGGAAUCGACCGUGCCCUACGGAAUAGCUCCGGGAAACUGGAAUUAAUACCGUAUACGCCCUACGGGGGAAAGAUUUAUCGGGGUAUGAUGAGCCCGCGUUGGAUUAGCUAGUUGGUGGGGUAAAGGCCUACCAAGGCGACGAUCCAUAGCUGGUCUGAGAGGAUGAUCAGCCACAUUGGGACUGAGACACGGCCCAA
rnacentral:rRNA from 1 species